rnacentral:rRNA from 1 species
GUCUUUUUGAUUUUAUUUAAAGUCUGGCCUUGCCCACUGAAUUUAAUUUGAAGGGCCGCGGUAUUUUGACCGUGCAAAGGUAGCAUAAUCAUUAGUCUUUUAAUUGAAGGCUGGAAUGAAUGGUUUAACGAGGUAUUAACUGUCUCAUACUAAAUUUAUAGAAUUUAACUUUUGAGUUAAAAGGCUUAAAUUUUGUUAUAGGACGAGAAGACCCUAUAGAGCUUGAAGUUUAGAUUUAAUUUUCUUUUGGUUGUUUUAUGUAAUUUAUAAAGUAUAAAUUUUUAGUUGGGGUGACGUAAAGAUUAAUAUAACUCUUUUUUUUAUUUAAACAUUAAUUUAUGGUUUAUUGAUCCAUCAAUGAUGAUUAAAAGAUAAAGUUACCUUAGGGAUAACAGCGUAAUGUUUUUUGAGAGUUCUUAUCGACAAAAAAGAUUGCGACCUCGAUGUUGGAUUAAGGUAUAUAAUUGGGUGUAGAAGUC